CGAAAGCCUGACGGAGCAACGCCGCGUGUGGGAAGAAGGCUCUUGGGCUGUCAACCACUUUUCUCAGGGAAGAAGAUCUGACGGUACCUGAGGAAUCAGCCUCGGCUAACUCCGUGCCAGCAGCCGCGGUAAUACGGAGGAGGCAAGCGUUAUCCGGAAUUAUUGGGCGUAAAGCGUCCGCAGGUGGCGAUUCAAGUCUGCUGUCAAAGCUCGGAGCUCAACUCCGACCCGGCAGUGGAAACUGGGGAGCUAGAGGGCGGCAGGGGCAGAAGGAAUUCCCGGUGUAGCGGUGAAAUGCGUAGAUAUCGGGAAGAACACCAGAGGCGAAAGCGUUCUGCUGGGCCGCACCUGACCCUGAGGGACGAAAGCCAGGGGAGCG
rnacentral:rRNA from 1 species